AAAGUUUCAUUUAAUCAACGUGAGUUAUAUAUCAAGACGCUUUGCCUCUUUCAGAAGCCAGCCCCGACUUCUGGCUUUGGUUUUGAUACCCUUUCCCUCA